rnacentral:rRNA from 1 species
UACGUAGGGGGCGAGCGUUGUCCGGAAUCAUUGGGCGUAAAGCGCGUGUAGGCGGCCCGGUAAGUCCGCUGUGAAAGUCCAGGGCUCAACCCUGGGAUGCCGGUGGAUACUGUCGGGCUAGAGUCCGGAAGAGGAGUGUGGAAUUCCGUGGUGUAGCGGUGAAAUGCGCAGAUAUCAGGAGGAACACCAAUGGCGAAGGCAGCACUCUGGGACGUGACUGACGCUGAGACGCGAAAGCGUGGGGAGCAAACAGG